rnacentral:rRNA from 1 species
ACGAACGCUGGCGGCGUGCUUAACACAUGCAAGUCGAACGGAAAGGCCCUGCUUUUGUGGGGUGCUCGAGUGGCGAACGGGUGAGUAACACGUGAGUAACCUGCCCUUGACUUUGGGAUAACUUCAGGAAACUGGGGCUAAUACCGGAUAGGAGCUCCUGCUGCAUGGUGGGGGUUGGAAAGUUUCGGCGGUUGGGGAUGGACUCGCGGCUUAUCAGCUUGUUGGUGGGGUAGUGGUUUACCAAGGCUUUGACGGGUAGCCGGCCUGAGAGGGUGACCGGCCACAUUGGGACUGAGAUACGGCCCAGACUCCUACGGGAGGCAGCAGUGGGGAAUAUUGCACAAUGGGCGGAAGCCUGAUGCAGCAACGCCGCGUGCGGGAUGACGGCCUUCGGGUUGUAAACCGCUUUCGCCUGUGACGAAGCGUGAGUGACGGUAAUGGGUAAAGAAGCACCGGCUAACUACGUG